GCCGGGUGCGGUGGCGCGCGCCUGUAAUCCAAGUUCCCGGGAGGCUGAGGCUGGAGGAGCGUUUGAGCUCAGGAGCUCUGGGCUGCAGCGGACUAUGUCGAUCGGGUGUCCGCACUAAGUUCGGUAUCGAUAUGGUGCUCCGGGGGGAGCCCGGGAUCACCAGGUCGUCUAAGGAGGAGACGAAUAGACGCUGUAGUUCAGCCUGAGUAAGACAGCGGGACCCAGUCUUUA
rnacentral:SRP_RNA from 1 species